UACGUAGGGGGCAAGCGUUGUCCGGAAUUACUGGGCGUAAAGAGCGCGCAGGCGGUCGUUCAAGUCGCGUGUGAAAGCCCCCGGCUCAACUGGGGAGGGUCACGCGAUACUGAUCGACUGGAGGGCAGGAGAGGGUAGUGGAAUUCCCGGUGUAGUGGUGAAAUGCGUAGAUAUCGGGAGGAACACCAGUGGCGAAGGCGACUACCUGGCCUGUUCUUGACGCUGAGGCGCGAAAGCUAGGGGAGCAAACGGG
rnacentral:rRNA from 1 species